UUUCAACUUGUUUUCUUCAAAAAAAAAAAAGCCGAAGUAAUUAACCACAUUCUUCCUUAUUUCAUUUUAGAAGGAGCUUCUUCUAUUAUUCGAGUUAACAUCUAGCUUGAUGGAGUCGGAUUUUCAUAAUCUUCAAUGUUUUCAUUCAAUUUCCAACCAUGAUUUCACCGUUUAAUAUUAUGCUUAAGCAAACUGAUGUAAACGCGCCUACCAGCCAGUUGGAACAUAUGGUUUCCGGAAGUGUAUUUGUAAUGGAAAAUGUUGAUGAAUAAUUGGUUGUUUUUGUUGUUUAUCCGUUAGAGAGGCCGUCUAUGAAACAAAAUCCGGGCACAUGUUAAAUCGCGCAAUUUGUGAAAGCCUAUCACCUACAAUUUGUGUAGACGCGGCUGUGAUGGAUAUUUGGAGUUUGAUUCUUAACGAAAAACAAAAAAUGAAAGGUGGACAAAUUAAAAGACUUUUUUUACAAACAUCUACCAUUGUAAAUUGUAUAUUUAACUUUACUGAUUUAAAUUUUUUCUAGGUUAAAGUAAUAACCUAAUUUUUUCUAAACCAGUAAAAAAACAUGUGGAAUGGCUCUUUGGGAUUUGACGAAGCAUUAUAAGAUUUUUGAUAAAAAUAUGAAGCAUGCAUUGGGAUGCGAUGAUGAACUUCCGUCAAUGAAAAAUGGUAAAACUGUAGUGGUUAUUUUGAUAGAAAUGUAUUUGUAUCUUUCAAAUGUGCUUAAAGACAUAACCGUUGAGACUAUAUGUACAGGUUUUUUUUCCCAAUAAUUGCACAUGAACACUAUUAUUUUGUUAUGUUCAACCUUAAAAGGAUAGGAUUCAUCAUAAUUGAUAACAGUGUUACUACAAAUGACUAUAAAGGGAAGUAUAGUGCAGUUUGUGAUGUUCUUGUAAGAAUCUGUUCUCAACCUUCAAUUUAUUUUAGUUUCAUUUAUACAUGUGAAAUGUGCAACAAAUAUAAUACGAAAAUGACAUAGUAUGCAAUACAAUGAUACAUUUGACUCGAAUAGUUACAGCCAAGGCUUUGAACAAUUGACAUAGUGUAAAGAUAUAACCCAAAAAAGAGGCAGCAUAUGCAUGUUCUUCGAACAAUAAAACAAUAUUCUCUGAAUUAAGAUAAAAGUAUAUAGUAUAAUUGAGUUUGAUAAGAAAGUAUAGUAUGUUAAUAAUAAGGGGAACAAGUUUCAAGAUAGGGAUUUUUGUGAAGUCCGAAACUGACCUUAGUAUAAUAUAGACCGAAUCUUUUGGUACAACUGUGAAUUCUUACUUAGAAAUUGUUAUCUAUUUGCAGCGACGUAUGUUUUCUCGUUAUUUGAGGAGUUUCAAGCAUCAAAAAUCAGAAAAGUGGAACACACAUUAGCAAAAAUGAAAUGGAGGACCUUAAAUAACAAGGAUGACUGUGGAAUCUUUUUGAUGUGUCAUCUGGACACGUAUACAGGCGAACCAAUUUCAAAGUGGAAUAUGGGUUUUGUCACUGAGGUUUCAACGAGAGAAGUUACUCAAAAGGUUCAUUUAGAAAGGCUAAGAAAAAAGUAUUGUACAAAGACUUUAUUUCAUGAAAGCAACAAGCACCAAAGAAGAUGGUGGAUUAUGGAAAAUUGUUUGGAGAGAAAUAUGACCUUGCACAAGGAAAGAAGGUGAUUAAUGAAGCUGUGAGAUGUAAGUUGAAAGUGAUACGAGUACAGAAUGUAGUUCUUAAGAAGGUUGACACUUGAUGGCUUAGGCAUAUCAUCAGGUUCACGGAAAAUGCGAGUAAGGGUGAAUGACAUCAAUCAACUCAACAUGAAGGCCUAUGAAGUUACAAGACACAAGGAGACAAUUCGGGAGUAGAACAAAGGAAAGCAAAUCGAAGAGCAGCAGGAGCUGUGAGAGCCGCUGGCCCAACAAAUGGAGGCCCCAGCGCCUCUGGAGCCCAGUACCAGCGCCGCUGGGCGGCCCAAUUUAGCAAACUGACUUUAGCCUAUAUAAAUACGAAUAAACCGACGUUAGCCGAUUCAGCAGCCCUAGCCGCCACAUACAAACCCUAGGUCGAUUUUGUAUAUUCCAAGGAGGUUUUGGAGCUUCUAAUACCUCUCAAUCUUCAUCCUCAACCUAGAUCUAUUUCUUUUAUUUACUUUCAGUUAGUAAACAAUGUCUUUCAGCUUUUCAGACUUUGUUAUUCCUUUAAUAAUGUCAGGCUAGUAGGUUGGAUA